rnacentral:rRNA from 1 species
ACGAACGCUGGCGGCGUGCUUAACACAUGCAAGUCGAACGAUGAAGCCUUAGCUUGCUUUGGUGGAUUAGUGGCGAACGGGGGAGUAACACGUGAGCAACGUGCCCAGGACUCUGGAAUAACCGCGGGAAACCGUGGCUAAUACCGGAUAGGUGCCGAGGCCGCAUGGUCGUCGGUUGGAAAGUUUUUGCGGUUCUGGAUCGGCUCACGGCCUAUCAGCUUGUUGGUGGGGUAAUGGCCUACCAAGGCGACGACGGGUAGCCGGCCUGAGAGGGUGACCGGCCACACUGGGACUGAGACACGGCCCAGACUCCUACGGGAGGCAGCAGUGGGGAAUAUUGCACAAUGGGCGCAAGCCUGAUGCAGCAACGCCGCGUGGGGGAUGACGGCCUUCGGGUUGUAAACCUCUUUUAGUAGGGAAGAAGCGCAAGUGACGGUACCUGCAGAAAAAGCACCGGCUAACUACGUG